UGAAAUAAUGGCAGGUGAAAGGGAAGAGAGAUCCUACUAUAUUUUAUGAAUAAAGAAUAAAAAUGAGUGAAGCCUGAUCCUCCAAGAGCACCAGGAGAAAAUGGUGAUCAGUUGAAUGUGGAGGAUUUACAGAUAACUCAAAUGUUCCUUGCUUGGACAGCUGGAGGAUUGACACCAUGGACUGAAAUAAGAGAUUUAGUCCUCUAGCAUGGUUGCCUCUUCAAGGUGGUUGUCCUACUGAAAGUAGCACUUGUUGGUAAGUGAGAGACAUUUUUAAAACUAUACCAGUCGUCAAAAGGAUUUCUUGAGAGUAUUACUCUGCCACAUACAGAUUGUAUGAUCGUGAGUAAAAAGUCAACUGUUUGGAUCUUACUCUCUUUUCCUGGCUAUGCUUAGUUUUCUGUAUUCCUUGCCCACAUUAAAAUGGUUAUUAUCCUUUGAAUGAUGAAACUGAAUGUAUCAUUUUAGCUUCAUAAUUCCAUGACCAUUGAGCAAUACUCAGUCUUUUUGUAGGUAUCUGUGGCCAAAAUGUGAAUCAUCGUUAAACCUGUAGAUAGUCAUUCUGGUUUCUUAAUGUCUGUUAAUGUUAACUGAAAAGCAAUACUUGGUUAAAGGGUUAGUGCUGAAUUGUUGUAACAGAAAGUACAAUAAGUACUCAAACGUAAGUAGGAAUCUUAAGUGCAAUUUAAAUGUACAUUUUUUUGGCUAGGCACAGUGGCUCACACCUGUAGAGUCCCAGUAC